rnacentral:lncRNA from 1 species
GGGGGCGCGCACGCGGGGCUGCGGGGCGAGGCGCGGGGCCCGGGCGGCGAAUCCGCUGCUCGCGCCUCCCGCCCCGCCCGCGCGCGCCCGCCCCGGGAGGAGGGUGCGCGGCGGAGGCGCGGGGGGGGGGGGGGGGGGGGGGGGGGGGAGUCGAGGAGGGGCCGCGCCCGGUCCUCGCCCGCAGCGGGCACCGCCGGGGGCCCCGGGAGGCCUUGUUGGUAUUCCGGGCACAGCAGAAGCCCUGACCUCCCCGCGGAACAGGGGCGCCCGGGAGCGCGGCGCGGCCGCCGCCCCCGGGCGGUCUCCCCGGACUGCGGGGCCGUAGGCGCCUUGCUCCCCCUCCUCCCUGUCCCCUCCUCUCCAGGUCCCCCGUACCCCCUCCCCCGGCCUGAUCCGGCGGCGAAGGGGUGGGCAGGGAAACGCGCUCUCUGGGACAGGUGCCAACUCCGAGACAAAAGACAUAAAAUAGGCGGCAACGGGGGAAGCGCGGCCGGCGCGCUCGGGCGGGGACGGAGGCGCCGCGGGGGCCGCAUCCUCGGUGCCGACCGGGGAAAGUUUGGGAAGUCGCCGCGGCGGCUUCGCAGCGGCGGGGGACACGCGGGCCGGGCCGCCCUCCGCGCCGCGCUCGCCCUCUCCGCGCCGCUGCUGAAUAAUUCAUGGCGCGGCCGCCGGCCAUUAGCAUGCACCGGGCGCGCGGCGCGUCUGUGCCCAGCCGUCGCCGCCGCAUUCGGCGCCCCGGCCGCGCUAGACGAGCGGCCGCGCAGAGGCCGGGCCCGCGCCGUCCCCGCGCUCGCCCGCCCGUCCGCCCGUCCGCCCACCCGGCGGCUCCCAUUGUGCCCCAGGCCCGCGCCGCUCCGCCGUCCUGUGACCGCCUGCGCCCCGCAGCGCGCCCGACGGCCGGCCGCUGGAAGUUCGGGCCCGCGGCGCACGCCCUGCCGCCCCGGGAUGCACGUGAACUUGGAGAAAGUCUCGGGGCGCGCCGGCGCAGACCUCCGCGGCUGGGCGUGGGCGCCCCUGGCCCCGCGCGCUUUCGUUUUCGUCUGGGACAAAGGUCCCUCGCGGCGCAGGUCGCGGACGUGGAGGCAGUGCCCUGCGGGCCACUCAGCGGGGAGGUCCGGUCGUUCAGUCAAGGGAAGCCGGAGCCUGGAGAAGACGAGCCGCGCGGUCGGAGGCGCGGUGCGGGACCAGGACAGUGGGGCCUGGCCGUGCGCUUCGCCCUGGCGGUCCAGGAGCUGUCUCGCCCUCCGAAGAGUUACGGGAGGUGGCACUGCUUUUGCUCUCUGCCCUUUCGACACGUGAAGGAGAGAAUCAUUCGGAACCCAGGACUCAGACCGGUGGCCGAGGGCCUGUGCAGCCGCGAGCACGACAGCGCAGCGCUGGCCGCGUCCGCGCGCGUUCCUCCGACAAGGGCAGAGCAGUCGACCAGCGCGCCCCAGUCUCGAUCGGGUUCAAGGCGACUCUUGAGGACGGGCAGGCCUUCCACAGACCAGGGGACCGGGGAAGGAGGCUGUUCUUGAACCUGAAGCCACACCAGCUUGCAGGAACUCCAUGGCCGGCCUUACAAUUGUGGAACUUGGAAUUUGGGAAAUAACGGCUUCCAAUCUCAGGUGUGCAGACCAUUUGCCAGAGAGAAUUUUGUUGAACAUGGAAGAGAGCCUUAGCAGGCGCCCGAGUGGAAGAGAAGGAAACCAGAAGACGUCUGUUUUGAGAUUAGAUGGGCUGGGAAGGGGUAUUCGGAAGCUACCAUCCUUC